UACGCGUUAACCUCAGUGUAGAAAAGACAAAUUAGAUUUUAUAUGAAAAAAAAACAUAAUGAUAAUUUUGACGGUUUAUGAAGUGGGCGUGGUCUCCCGAGUCUCCCCUGACCUCUGACCCGACCUCCAGGAUGAAGCUCACCUGCCUGGAGCUCCGCCAGGUAGGACAGGUUAGAAGAGCAAACACGAGCACCUCUGCCUGCAAGCUAAUCCCUCACGCAAGCGACGUUGCGAAAUAAAGCUUGGAGGCAGUUGCGAUGUUUUCAGCGGCGGCAUUAGCAGCUUCUUUAACUUAUUUGUGUAAAAGCGCUUGAAGCCUUGCCUCGCUCGGUUUGAAACGGCGGAGGUGACGAACUGCAGACGAAGGCCUGAAGGUGUUUGCACAGCUACAGGUAAAGAGGUUCCACGUUGCCCCCCUUCGGCUGCACAGAAGCCCCAUCCUCCCCGUGAGCUUCCUCCGUGUUGAUUUGAUCUUUAUUUGGCCCUUUACACCGCAACUCUUUGAAUAAAGCUACUCAGCGCGCUUACGGGAAGCGCACAGCGCAACAUCACAACCGGCCCCCUCAAGCUUCCAAACCGAGCAUUUCCAAAUUGGUUUUCGUGAAACCUGCUAAUAUACAGGGACAAGUUUAGAAAAUCUCCCUCUCCCGCUCCCUCCCCCGUCUUCGGGACAACCUCCAGUACGAUCUCCUGAGAAGGUGAUUCUAAAUUUAAACCUGCAAAAAGGUGGCUUUGUAAAGAGCUGGCUUCAGAGGGAGAGAGAAAUCUGGAGGGAGAAGACGGGGGGAGGAAAUUUGCAGAGAGAUCAAGGAGGAAAAACAUAGAGGAAAAAGAGAGGACACAAAGAUUACUGGGCGAUAAUUAGUUUGCCAAUGAUAAAAAUAAAUAAAUAAUCUAACAGCUGAGUAAACUUGUUGAUUUGAAUUAUUGUGAUAUCCAUUAACUUUCGUUUUCACCAGCCGCUGUGGUUCGUUGUUUUCCAAAGUUACUAGUCACUCAGCAUUUUCACUUCUCGGGAAAUUGUGUUUAAUGCCAUUAAAGCUGAGUAUGGAGUGCUAAAGUUUAUUUUAACUAGAGUUACAACCUUAGAGUCAGUUGGGGGCCACUGAUGUACUGAGGCUCUGGUCGUCAUUGCAGCGUGGGUUUGAUUCCUGUCCCUGUAUAAUACAGGUGCAAAAC